ACUAAGGUAGCGUAAUCAWUUGUCUUUUAAUUGAAGGCUAGAAUGAAGGGUUGGAUGAAAUAUGAGCUGUCUUUGGCUUUAUGAAAGAAUUUAAUUUUUUAGUUAAAAAGCUAAAAUUUAAUUAAGGGACGAGAAGACCCUGUAGAUCUUUAUAUGAGCUAUUGAUGUUGAAUAGGGUAGUUAUGAAUUAGUUAUUUAUUUGUAGCUUUAUUUAGUUGGGGUGACUUUAGAAUUUGUUUUUCUUCUAAUAGUUUAUAUUUCAAUUAUUAUUGUAAGUUUGAUCUUGUGUUAUUACUGAUUAUAAGAUUAAGAUACCUUAGGGAUAACAGCGUUAUUUUCUCGGAGAGUUCGUAUCAAUGGGAAAGUUUGCGACCUCGAUGUUGAAUUAAAAUUAGUUUUAGGUGCAAGAGCU
rnacentral:rRNA from 1 species